rnacentral:lncRNA from 1 species
UGCUCAGUUCAUGGGACUGAGCAAAAACAUUUACUAGUUCUCGGACGGACUGGGCAAUUUUGCCCAUGGAGUGUAAUUUAUUGUUACGCAUAUUCAGAUCAGAAAAUCUGCAAAUGAUUGGGAUAACUUGAUUAGCCAAUAAGUUCUGGAUUGUAACGCAUAUCGCACAAGCAAAACGUUUAUUCUGAGUUUGAGGUAAAAACUUAAUAAAAGUCUCAAUGCAAAAUAUUUUACAGAGCGUUUCAAUACAUCAUAACCGAUUGGGUGGAACUAUUGAUCUGCUGAGAGUCCCAGGAUUUGACGAUGUUUCGAAAUCUCAAAUCAAUGCACCAAAGCUAAGGGUAAUUCAUAACUUUUGCCGGACCUCUAACUUUAAAGAGUCAGCAUGGGAGUGAAUUGACAUUCAAGCUUUUGGAGUCAGGCGUAGUUACACCAUUGAUUGAGGUAGACUCUGGCACGUAAGUCAUUCAUUCGCUUACCCGAAAACCUAAAAUUUUAUGUAGAGGAGAACAAACUGCUAUCUUUCAGAGGCCUGCGGAAAUAAUUUGUCGGCCUCUCAAAGCAGAUGGUUUCAAUACGUAAAAGUCACUGGAAAAAUAAUCGUAAAUACUUCUAAAAUACAGCGAAGACCAAUUUGAGCGAGGAUCCCCCCGUUUUGAUCCCAUUUUGGUUUUGUAAGUACCACUGGAUUGUAAGAGAAGGCGAUGCAAGAGCUUUCUGAACCUUUUUAUGGAUUUAAUUUUAAUGUCCUUUUUGAUACCGAAUUUUCUCGUACGUUAUAUAUUGUGUCCUUGUUUUUUUCAAAUUAUAAAUUUAGUUAUCAAUAAUAUUUCAGUUAUGAUGCCAUGUAUGGAGAUCAACUGGUUCUCUCGGAUCUUCAGAUUAAGAGUGGAGGGGUCUAUACAUUGAUAAUACAGAAGAUAGAUUCCAGAAUUGUUGGUAAUCUACACACAAUCACGCCACCAGCUACAUUACACUUGCUGUGGAUGAUACCUCAAAAAACCAUCAUGUCGAUCGCUGAAGUAUUUUUUGCGAUGACCUAUGUAUCAUUCACUUUCACUCAGGUAGGUUUCUAUUUAUUACUUCUAACCCCAGAAAAUAACAUUUUAAGAGAGGCGCUUAUUAAUGCAUUCAACCGAUUUAUAGAGGUGCUUGUUCAAAAAUUCAGUGUCAAUGCAGUUUGCCAUGUGAACAAAGGA